rnacentral:misc_RNA from 1 species
AACUUAUCAACCAUGGCUUGGGUUUAGGCCCUCGUCCUUGGCUUGGAUUUGGGUGCUUGCGGCUCUGUCUGCUCACCUCAAAAGAAUUAGCUGGACUUGUCUUUGACCUGGUUCUACUUGGCGUAAUAAGUAUUUCGCUGAGGACGACCCCUCGGGGUUGGCCAGGGCUCGGGCUCAUGUCUGCUUUCUAGACCUGACGGCGUCUCUCGGGACCCCUCAACUUUUUAUG